ACGAACGCUGGCGGCGUGCCUAAUACAUGCAAGUAGAACGCUGAAGAGAGGAGCUUGCUCUUCUUGGAUGAGUUGCGAACGGGUGAGUAACGCGUAGGUAACCUGCCUUGUAGCGGGGGAUAACUAUUGGAAACGAUAGCUAAUACCGCAUAACAAUGGAUGACACAUGUCAUUUAUUUGAAAGGGGCAAUUGCUCCACUACAAGAUGGACCUGCGUUGUAUUAGCUAGUAGGUGAGGUAAUGGCUCACCUAGGCGACGAUACAUAGCCGACCUGAGAGGGUGAUCGGCCACACUGGGACUGAGACACGGCCCAGACUCCUACGGGAGGCAGCAGUAGGGAAUCUUCGGCAAUGGGGGCAACCCUGACCGAGCAACGCCGCGUGAGUGAAGAAGGUUUUCGGAUCGUAAAGCUCUGUUGUAAGUCAAGAACGGGUGUGAGAGUGGAAAGUUCACACUGUGACGGUAGCUUACCAGAAAGGGACGGCUAACUACGUGCCAGCAGCCGCGGUAAUACGUAGGUCCCGAGCGUUGUCCGGAUUUAUUGGGCGUAAAGCGAGCGCAGGCGGUUUGAUAAGUCUGAAGUUAAAGGCUGUGGCUCAACCAUAGUUCGCUUUGGAAACUGUCAAACUUGAGUGCAGAAGGGGAGAGUGGAAUUCCAUGUGUAGCGGUGAAAUGCGUAGAUAUAUGGAGGAACACCGGUGGCGAAAGCGGCUCUCUGGUCUGUAACUGACGCUGAGGCUCGAAAGCGUGGGGAGCGAACAGGAUUAGAUACCCUGGUAGUCCACGCCGUAAACGAUGAGUGCUAGGUGUUGGAUCCUUUCCGGGAUUCAGUGCCGCAGCUAACGCAUUAAGCACUCCGCCUGGGGAGUACGACCGCAAGGUUGAAACUCAAAGGAAUUGACGGGGGCCCGCACAAGCGGUGGAGUAUGUGGUUUAAUUCGACGCAACGCGAAGAACCUUACCAAGGCUUGACAUUGAUUGAACGCUCUAGAGAUAGAGAUUUCCCUUCGGGGACAAGAAAACAGGUGGUGCAUGGUUGUCGUCAGCUCGUGUCGUGAGAUGUUGGGUUAAGUCCCGCAACGAGCGCAACCCCUAUUGUUAGUUGCCAUCAUUCAGUUGGGCACUCUAGCGAGACUGCCGGUAAUAAACCGGAGGAAGGUGGGGAUGACGUCAAAUCAUCAUGCCCCUUAUGACCUGGGCUACACACGUGCUACAAUGGUUGGUACAACGAGUUGCGAGUCGGUGACGGCGAGCUAAUCUCUUAAAGCCAAUCUCAGUUCGGAUUGUAGGCUGCAACUCGCCUACAUGAAGUCGGAAUCGCUAGUAAUCGCGGAUCAGCACGCCGCGGUGAAUACGUUCCCGGGCCUUGUACACACCGCCCGUCACACCACGAGAGUUUGUAACACCCGAAGUCGGUGAGGUAACCUUUUGGAGCCAGCCGCCUAAGGUGGGACAGAUGAUUGGGGUG
rnacentral:rRNA from 1 species